GGAGUCAGCCGGGCAAUCGCUGUCGUGACUGCCUGGUUCAACCAGGCCGGUUCCGGCAGAGGAAAGUCCGGGCUCCGCAUGGGCAGGGCGCCAGGUAAUUCCUGGGCGGCGCGAGCCGGCGGAAAGUGCAACAGAAAAUAUACCGCCCGGCCGGCAACUGCGGCCGGGUAAGGGUGAAAUGGUGCGGUAAGAGCGCACCGCGUGGCUGGUAACAGGCACGGCAUUGCAAACCCCGCCUGGAGCAAGGCCAAAUAAGGGGGUGAUAAUGUGGCCCGCAUUGUCCCCGGGUAGGCCGCAAGAGGUGUAUGGCGACAUACAUCCCAGAUGAAUGAUUGUCCUCGACAGAACCCGGCUUACAGGCUGGCUCCCCCU
rnacentral:RNase_P_RNA from 1 species